rnacentral:rRNA from 1 species
CCCUUAGAUGUUCUGGGCCGCACGCGCGCUACACUGAUGAAUUCAACGAGCACUAACCUGUGCCGAAAGGUUCGGGUAAUCUUGUGAAAUUUCAUCGUGAUGGGGAUUGAUUAUUGCAAUUUUUAAUCAUAAACGAGGAAUGCCUAGUAAGCGUGGGUCAUCAGCUCACGUUGAUUACGUCCCUGCUCUUUGUACACACCGCCCGUCGCUCCUACCGAUUGAAUGUGCCAGUGAAAAGUUAGGAUUGGGCGUGGGAGACGGCAACGUAUUCCACAUCCGAGAAAAUCUUUAAACUUUCCCAUUUAGAGGAAGGAGAAGUCGUAACA